rnacentral:rRNA from 1 species
AUUGAACGCUGGCGGCAUGCCUUACACAUGCAAGUCGAACGGCAGCACGGGAGCAAUCCUGGUGGCGAGUGGCGAACGGGUGAGUAAUAUAUCGGAACGUGCCCCGUAAUGGGGGGUAGCCCGGCGAAAGCCGGAUUAAUACCGCAUACGACCUACGGGUGAAAGCAGGGGAUCGCAAGACCUUGCGUUAUUGGAGCGGCCGAUAUCAGAUUAGCUUGUUGGUGGGGUAAAAGCCUACCAAGGCAACGAUCUGUAGCUGGUCUGAGAGGACGACCAGCCACACUGGGACUGAGACACGGCCCAGACUCCUACGGGAGGCAGCAGUGGGGAAUUUUGGACAAUGGGCGCAAGCCUGAUCCAGCCAUGCCGCGUGCGGGAAGAAGGCCUUCGGGUUGUAAACCGCUUUUGUCAGGGAAGAAACGGCUCUUGCUAAUAUCGAGAGCUAAUGACGGUACCUGAAGAAUAAGCACCGACUAACUACGUGCCAGCAGCCGCAGUAAGAC